GCUGGGGUAGCUCAGUUGUUUAGAACGUGUGGCUGUUAACCACAAGGUCGGGAGGUUAGACCCCUCUCUCUAGCG
rnacentral:tRNA from 1 species